CCCCAAAGGGGACUGCGGGAGACAUUCCUUACCUUAUUGACGCGUCUUUUGUGCUGGUCACACAGAUUGACUGAUAAAGACUUUUUGAUACAGAACUCUUGCUUUGGUUUGGCCGAGAGAUAGGUUGGGCCAGAGGUUUAACAAAACACAAUUUAAUUAUUUACAUUGAUAGUCAAAUUUUGAAUUAAUCUUCUAAACUUUUUUCAACUGAUCUUUUGGUUCUCGCAUCUCUGAAGAACGCAGCGAAAUGCGAUAAGUAAUAUGAAUUGCAGAUUUUCCUGAAUCAUCCAAUCUUUGAACGCACAUUGCGCCCUCUGGUAUUCCAAAGGGCAUGCCUGUUUGACCGUCCUUUCUCUCUCAAACCCCCGGGUUUGGUAUUGAUUGAUACUCUUACUCAAACUAGGCGUUUGCUUGAAAAGUAUUGGCAUGGGUAGUACUGGAUAGUGCUGUCGACCUCUCCAUGUAUUAGGUUUAUCCAACUCGUUGAAUGGUGUGGCGGGAUAUGUCUGGUAUUGUUGGCCCGGCCUUACAACAACCAAACAAGUUUGACCUCAAAUCAGGUAGGAAUACCCGCUGAACUUAAUCAUAUCAAUAAGCGGAAGACAAAAAACCAACCACUCACUAUCAUUAACUGAAUCCAUAGGUUAAUGAGGCGAACCAACUGAACUGAAACAUCUAAGUACCCCGAGGAAACCAAACAAACCAUUAAUGGUGG
rnacentral:rRNA from 1 species